rnacentral:rRNA from 1 species
UGGGAACAUACCUUUUGGUUCGGAACAACACAGGGAAACUUGUGCUAAUACCGGAUAAGCCCUUACGGGGAAAGAUUUAUCGCCAAAAGAUCGGCCCGCGUCUGAUUAGCUAGUUGGUGGGGUAAUGGCCCACCAAGGCUACGAUCAGUAGCUGGUCUGAGAGGAUGAUCAGCCACAUUGGGACUGAGACACGGCCCAAACUCCUACGGGAGGCAG